GGAAUUGCAAAAGAUUUUCUACCGCCUAGAGCGUGACGGGAAAAAAAGCUACUGGGCUAAGGAAUUGCACAGGAGGAUAGAUACCUGGACGUGGCAAAAUCCACGCGGCCCUUCUUAAAUAAAAGGUAUAUAGCUGACCCUCCUUUCGCAACAAGGUAGCCGUAGGGGAACCUGUGGCUGGAUUGAAUCCCUCCCUAUCCGAGAUGUGCUCUUGAAGGAUCUCCCUCGACAGCGCAGUUAGGUCUUAGAGAAGGAACUGAUUUACCGCUCCGUGGGUAAGUAUGCUCUUGAAGGAUCUCCCUCGACAGCGUAGUUAGGUCUUAGAGAAGGAACUGAUUUACCGCUCUCUAGGUAAGUAGCCAACUU
rnacentral:lncRNA from 1 species